CUACGGGAGGCACCAGUGGGGAAUAUUGCACAAUGGGCGAAAGCCUGAUGCAGCAACGCCGCGUGAGUGAUGAAGGUCUUCGGAUUGUAAAGCUCUGUUCUUGGGGAAGAAUAAAUGACGGUACCCAAGGAGAAAGCCCCGGCUAACUACGUGCCAGCAGCCGCGGUAAUACGGUAGGGGGCAAGCGUUAUCCGGAAUCACUGGGCGUAAAGGGUGCGUAGGCGGCUUAGCAAGUCAGAAGUGAAAGGCAUUGGCUCAACCAAUGUAAGCUUUUGAAACUGUUAGGCUUGAGUGCAGGAGAGGAAAGUGGAAUUCCUAGUGUAGCGGUGAGAUGCGUAGAUAUUAGGAGGAACACCAGUGGCGAAGGCGACUUUCUGGACUGUAACUGACGCUGAGGCACGAAAGCGUGGGGAGCGAACAGGAUUAGAUACCCCGGUAGUC
rnacentral:rRNA from 1 species